rnacentral:lncRNA from 1 species
CGGUUCUAAGCUUGAGGGGGAGUCUUAAUGCAUAUGAUACAUGGUCAGUAACAAGUCUUUGCAAAGGCUUCUACAAAGGAUCAUCAACCGGACCAAGUCAGUGGCGUGUCUAGGUAAGAGGCUGUUCAGAGCAGUCUUGGCAAGUGAGGAAGAAGGCUCUCCAUCAAUGCGGCUUCAAUGAGAGGUGAUUAAGGAGAAGCUGAUGAAUCCAUUCUGCCUUUCCAAGAAGUUGAUGAUGCCAUGAAGAUGGUGCAUUGGCCGAGUUAGGAAACUCACAAAAACACAAGGGAAGUUCCCUUAGACUUUUUAAACUCUUUCUUCAAUCUUUUUCAUUCAUCUUAUUCAUUGCUUGUGCUUGAAAAGAUACUUAAGAUGAUCAUGAUUGAAUUAUGGGAUUGUGUGCAUCAAGUGUGAUGCAGGAUAUUCAUUUUCUUGUUUUUAAUAGGUACUAAUGCACCUUUGGGAUAAUGUAUCAGGUACCAUUGCUUGUAGCCUCAUUAAACAGUUCCGGGGAAUCUCCUAGCUUCUCUAAAGGGGCUGUGAAGUCUGUUGAGAGGGGGAGACCCUAAACCUAGUCUAUGAUGAGGGUAAGCCGGGUGUGAAGUAUUGAUCAGCCUCACUAGUGUUUUGAAGAUGAUCUGGUCAUGUCCUAGCUUCUCUAAGAUGGCUGAGAAGUCAGUUGAGAGGGGGAGAC